rnacentral:rRNA from 1 species
GACGGGGGGGGCAAGUGUUCUUCGGAAUGACUGGGCGUAAAGGGCACGUAGGCGGUGAGUCGGGUUGAAAGUGAAAGUCGCCAAAAAGUGGCGGAAUGCUCUCGAAACCAAUUCACUUGAGUGAGACAGAGGAGAGUGGAAUUUCGUGUGUAGGGGUGAAAUCCGUAAAUAUACGAAGGAACGCCAAAAGCGAAGGCAGCUCUCUGGGUCCCUACCGACGCUGGGGUGCGAAAGCAUGGGGAGCGGAACAGG